GGGGGGUCUUAACAGGCUCUGCUCCAAGUGUGCGUGGUUCAAGUCACUUCGGUCGUGUACGACUCUUUGGGACCACUCCAUGGUGUGUAGCCCACCAGGCUCCUCUGUCCAUGGGAUUCUCCAGGCAAGCACACUGGAGUGGGUUGCCAUUUCCUCCUCCAGGGGAUCUUCCCAAUCCAGGGAUCGAACCCAUGUCUCUUACAUCUCCUGCAUUGGCAGGUUUGUGACAGGAAGGUCAAAGAAAAGCAUGACAAUGCAGACUGAUGUCAGGAGAACAAGAUUUUCCAAGGAUGGAGUCGGGCGGCGCUUAUCAGCGAUGCUGACGGUCCACGGCUGCGUUCGCUUGUUAGGGCUCAUAUCACAGAGCACCAGGGGGCUUCCCAGGGGGCGCUGGUGGUAAAGAAUCCGCUGGCCAAUCCAGGAGACCUAAGAGAAGCGGCUCUGAUCCCUGGGCCGGGAAGAUCCCCUGGAGGGCACGGCAGUCCACUCCAGUACUCUCGUCUAGAGAAUCCCAUGGACAGAAGAGCCUGGUGGCUGCAGUCACAAAAAACUCAGACGUGACUUAGUGACUAAACAACAAAAGGAAAUGCGGGCAUUAGAUAGUCCUUGGCUGGCAUUUCGAUCGCACGGCAUACACUCUCUCAUCACUGCAACAGGGUCACUUACUAAAUACAUCUAAGAGGAACUCUGACAGUCCUGAGAAAUCUGACCACGUGACUCUGGCACAACACAGAUGCUUAGUGACGACAUUCCAGCAGGUUUACCACACUGGGCGCAGAGACACGAAGGGAGCAAACGCCGUUGGACAAAUGGUGCGCACAGACCUACUGGACUUGGAGUGGCCACGGAC
ensembl:lncRNA